rnacentral:rRNA from 1 species
UAGGGAAUCUUCCGCAAUGGACGCAAGUCUGACGGAGCAACGCCGCGUGAGUGAAGAAGGAUUUCGGUUCGUAAAACUCUGUUGUUAGAGAAGAACAGCGCAUAGAGUAACUGUUAUGCGUGUGACGGUAUCUAACCAGAAAGCCACGGCUAACUACGUGCCAGCAGCCGCGGUAAUACGUAGGUGGCAAGCGUUGUCCGGAUUUAUUGGGCGUAAAGCGAGCGCAGGCGGUCAAUUAAGUCUGAUGUGAAAGCCCCCGGCUCAACCGAGGAGGGUCAUUGGAAACUGGUUGACUUGAGUGCAGAAGAGGAGAGUGGAAUUCCAUGUGUAGCGGUGAAAUGCGUAGAUAUAUGGAGGAACACCAGUGGCGAAGGCGACUCUCUGGUCUGUAACUGACGCUGAGGCUCGAAAGCGUGGGUAGCAAACAGG